UACGAAGGGGGCUAGCGUUGCUCGGAAUUACUGGGCGUAAAGCGCACGUAGGCGGAUUGUUAAGUCGGGGGUGAAAUCCUGGAGCUCAACUCCAGAACUGCCUUUGAUACUGGCAACCUUGAGUCCGGGAGAGGUGAGUGGAACUGCGAGUGUAGAGGUGAAAUUCGUAGAUAUUCGCAAGAACACCAGUGGCGAAGGCGGCUCACUGGCCCGGUACUGACGCUGAGGUGCGAAAGCGUGGGGAGCAAACAGG
rnacentral:rRNA from 1 species